rnacentral:rRNA from 1 species
GGAAUAUUGGUCAAUGGGCGCAAGCCUGAACCAGCCAUGCCGCGUGCAGGAAGACGGUCCUAUGGAUUGUAAACUGCUUUUAUUUGGGAAUAAACCUCUUUACGUGUAGAGAGCUGAAGGUGCCAAAUGAAUAAGCACCGGCUAACUCCGUGCCAGCAGCCGCGGUAAUACGGAGGGUGCAAGCGUUAUCCGGAAUCAUUGGGUUUAAAGGGUCCGCAGGCGGACUUAUAAGUCAGUGGUGAAAUCUCUCGGCUUAACCGAGAAACUGCCAUUGAUACUGUAAGUCUUGAAUUCGGUCGAAGUGGGCGGAAUGUGACAUGUAGCGGUGAAAUGCUUAGAUAUGUCGCAGAACACCGAUAGCGAAGGCAGCUCACUAGGCCUGGAUUGACGCUCAGGGACGAAAGCGUGGGGAGCAAAC